UCCUAUGAAGAGGUGGGAAUAACAAAAUAAGACCAGAGGCCUGUAUGGAGCUUUAUUUAAUUAAUGCUCCCCCCCCCACCCCACUACAAUGAACUAAAUCAUCGUGGGAUAAUAAAACUUUUAUAUGGGUUAGCGGUUUUGUUUGGGGUGAUCUCAGAGAACAAAAAAGUCUCUGAAUGAUUAAAAUUUAGACCAAAUAGUCAAAAUGUUUGAUCCCUUACUGAUCCAAAAAAUUGAUCAACGGAGCAAGUUAUACUACAGAUAACAGCAUAGUCCUACUCUAGAGUUCAUAUCAACAGUAGGGUUUAGAAUCUUGAUGUUGGGUCAGGACAUCCCAAUGGCAUAACCAGUAUUAAAUAUUCAUUUAUUCAAUAGUUAAAGUCCUAUGUAAUAUGAGUUUACACCAGAGUAAUCCAAGUCAGUUUCUAUUAUAUA
rnacentral:ncRNA from 1 species